GAUGAACGCUAGCGACAGGCCUAACACAUGCAAGUCGAGGGGCAUCGGGGCGUAGCAAUACGCUGCCGGCGACCGGCGGAUGGGUGAGUAACGCGUAUGCAACCUACCUUCAGCAGGGGGAUAGCCCGUUGAAAGACGGAUUAAUACCCCAUAACACAGGGGCUCCGCAUGGAGAUUAUUGUUAAAGGGAUGCUUCCUUCGGGGAGUAUCCGGCUGCAGAUGGGCAUGCGUUCCAUUAGGUAGUUGGUUGAGGUAACGGCUCACCAAGCCUGCGAUGGAUAGGGGAACUGAGAGGUUGGUCCCCCACACUGGUACUGAGACACGGACCAGACUCCUACGGGAGGCAGCAGUGAGGAAUCUUGGUCAAUGGACGGAAGUCUGAACCAGCCGUGUCGCGUGAAGGAGGACGGCCCUAAGGGUUGUAAACUUCUUUUGCAGCGGAAUAAAGUAUUCCACGUGAUGGGAUAUUGCAAGUACGCUGCGAAUAAGGAUCGGCUAACU
rnacentral:rRNA from 1 species